UACGUAGGGGGCUAGCGUUGUCCGGAAUCAUUGGGCGUAAAGAGCGUGUAGGCGGUCAGGUAGGUCCGUUGUGAAAACUCGAGGCUCAACCUCGAGACGCCGAUGGAAACCAUCUGACUAGAGUCCGGAAGAGGAGAGUGGAAUUCCUGGUGUAGCGGUGAAAUGCGCAGAUAUCAGGAAGAACACCCGUGGCUAAGGCGGCUCUCUAGUACGGUACUGACGCUGAGACGCGAAAGCGUGGGGAGCGAACAGG
rnacentral:rRNA from 1 species